rnacentral:piRNA from 1 species
UGACGUGCUGGGCUGUGAAGCUUUCUGAGU